AUCUUCUAUGAAGUCGGACAUUAAGAUAUUUGCAGAAAUUUAAUACGUGCCACUCUUCUCGCUCAAUUUUUUGUCUGGGGGAAUUGGUCUUUUGUUCUUCCAGUUAAAAUGUUAAUUACGUUAACAUAACCCUUUGACCAGACGGUGUUGGAAACCCACAGCUCUGCAGUUUCUUCCUCAGCAGUACUUCCCCCCUUUACCCUCAUGCAGGUCCAUGUUUGGAGGUUGUUAAAAAACCUUUCAUAAUGACGUCAGCCACGAGGACAAGGAAGAUCUUGCUGCUGCCAGAAAAUGGUGGGCCAGAGGCAUGAUGACCAUCUCUACGAUCUCCUCACACUGGCAAGAUUCCAGAGGAAUGAUGUCUUCCUCAGACGUCCUCAUUUUUGUUAUAACGACAUCAAAGAAACUCAAGAUCUU